rnacentral:rRNA from 1 species
UACGGAGGGUGCAAGCGUUAAUCGGAAUUACUGGGCGUAAAGCGUGCGCAGGCGGUUUGUUAAGUCUGUUGUGAAAUCCCCGAGCUCAACUUGGGAAUUGCAAUGGAUACUGGCAGGCUGGAGUAUGGUAGAGGAAGGUGGAAUCCCGGUGUAGCAGUGAAAUGCGUAGAGAUCGGGAGGAACACCAGUGGCGAAGGCGGACCUUC